rnacentral:misc_RNA from 1 species
AUGUGCUACCUACAUCGAGUCAAGCCAAUGGUAGUUACUGUUCCAGAGGCGCGUUGUCAUUCGAUUAAUCAAUGUGAAAUGGACCCCAAAAGAUACCCUCAACCAGUCAACCACAGUCCCAUUCUUCCAGAUACAAAGGAAAGAACAAUGUGUUUGCUACAAUAGCAGAUGUAAGCAACUUCUAGUUGAGUGUUCCAUACUCCAACUCUUCCUUUCAACACAUCUGCGC